GAUGAAGAACGCAGCGAAAUGCGAUACGUAAUGUGAAUUGCAAAUUCAGUGAAUCAUCGAGUCUUUGAACGCACAUUGCGCCCCCUGGUAUUCCGGGGGGCAUGCCUGUCCGAGCGUCAUUGCUGCCCUCAAGCACGGCUUGUGUGUUGGGCCCCGUCCUCCGAUCCCGGGGGACGGGCCCGAAAGGCAGCGGCGGCACCGCGUCCGGUCCUCGAGCGUAUGGGGCUUUGUCACCCGCUCUGUAGGCCCGGCCGGCGCUUGCCGAUCAACCCAAAUUUUUAUCCAGGUUGACCUCGGAUCAGGUAGGGAUACCCGCUGAACUUAGGCAUAUCAAUAAGCGGAGGA
rnacentral:misc_RNA from 1 species